rnacentral:lncRNA from 1 species
AUGGAGCGCCGUCCUCCUUCGUGCCCACCAUGGAAGUGGCACCCAUUCCCGUGCUGCCUGCCUGCCUGCCAGGUGCCUCCGUGGCUCAGCCUCGCACGCUGCCAUGUCACAAUUCCUGCCACAAACACACUUCCAGCUUUAUUCUUGCCCACGGCUCGCCAGCUGCUCCAGAGAAGGACGGAGGGCUGCUCAUCCAUCCCCUCCCAGCACGGGGCUGAGAUCCCAGCACCCCAACACCGAGGUGCUGGAGCCGCCCCAAGCCGUGCCCCAAGCUCCCAGGCAGCCCCCAGCUCCAGGAAGGGCUGUUCCACAGCACAUCCCUGGCACUCGCCCCUCGUGCAAGGCACAGCCUCUUCCUGCAGAGGACAAACACCAGGAACAUCAGGCUUGCCUUUCUCCACUCCCCAUCCCAAGGCAGGAGCAGCCCAAAGGCCAUGCCAGGCGCAGAGACAAACGAGCGCUGUGCCACACUGGGGGGCCGAGAUGGGAGAGAUUAGAAACCGCGAGCUGCACCGUUCGCUGCGCCCAACGCGGGAACAUCAUGUAAAUAUAAUGCCAAUAUAAAUCAGGCGGCAGAGCCAUCCAGAGCAUCACGCAGGGAGACGCUUCCCUGGCUCCCAGCCUCCCAGUUGUGACCAGUCCGUUCCUCAGCGCACCGCUCGCCUCCCCUCUGCCUGGCUGCUCUCCCUCGCACUGCCAGACCAUCUUGCUGCUCAACUCUCAGCUUGCCAACCACCUAUUUCUGUUUAUUUUAUCAACAGGGGCAGAAAUAAGCAGCUACAGCCCAUCAAGGGAAUUCUAAACUUCAGGGGUCCCUUGGAUCAAAUGUUUAUCUGCUUUCGGUUUCUACUUGAGCUCUUGUUCUACAGCAGGAGCACGUUAAAAGGAUGUGCUUCGAUGCCCAGAAAUAUUAACUAUCUGAAAGGUUUAUCAUGCAUUAAGCAAUUCAUUUUUUUUUUAUCCUAUUAUUCUAAUGAAACUUCCAUUGUAUUGCUGUCCUCUCUCUGGAACCGCUUCACGUUAACACUUUGCAUCACCAGGACUGUUCGAUGCUGAAGAUCUCUCUUUUUUUUUUUUUUUUUUUUUUUUUUUAAGAAAUAAAAUGUAAAACGAGGCCA